rnacentral:tRNA from 1 species
UGCAUGGGUUGGGGAGCGGAAAACCCGCAGGGUUUAGGACCCUGUCGCUUAGUGCGUUCGCAGGUUCAAAUCCUGCCCCAUGCAU